rnacentral:tRNA from 1 species
GGGAAUGUGGCUUAGUGGUAGAGUGCUUGCCUCAUAUGCGUGAAGCCCUGGGUUCAAUUCCCCAGAACCA